AUAUACUCUCAGAUGAUCGCUCCACUUUAUGGAGAGGAAAGUCCGGGCUUCCAAGGGUAGCGUAGUGGGUAAUGCCCACCCUCGAAUUUAUUUCGGGCGGAUUAGAGCCACAGAGACGAGUCUAAAUGGCGAUUCGCGGACGACGGCAGUCAGUUAGUAAAAGUCAUAAACAGGACACUAUGAAGCUGACUGUCAAAGUCUGCGCCUUAUGAAUUGCGCCAAUUAGGGUGAAACGCGGCAAUCUCUACGUGAAGAAAGGCCGAACAGGGCGAAAGCUGGUUUGCAGCUGGAUGUGACCCGCAUCCGGAUUCUUUCACAGGAUCCUAUAUGCCGGGUAGGCCGAUAGUGAAUUCAGGCGACUGGAUUUCAAGACAGAUGAUCAUCAGCGCAUUUUCGGGACUUCAUAUAGUCAGCUUUCGGGCUGAUCGUAUGAUGAUAUUGUAAGUGCGUUACAGAACUCGGCUUAUGAGAGUAUGCAAGA
rnacentral:RNase_P_RNA from 1 species